rnacentral:rRNA from 1 species
GGAAGGUCGGAGUUCCAGGCGGUGCUGGCCGUCGUCACAUGUCCCCAGUCUAGAUCUAAGAAAAAAGAGAAGGGGAUGAAUCUGGAGGAAGAGCUUGGUGAAGAACAAGGUGUUCGUAAUGGCAACGGUGGUAAUCAACGAUGAGAAAAAAGGACCGAGAUUGUAUUUGUACUAGCAGGUGAUGCCUUAAUUUAGUUCAUGGCAUUAUGGCGGGACGCAUGUGGUAAAUGGUUACAAUGGUGGCUCAUGGAGUUAAAAUUUUGUGUUCUGUACAGAUUUGAGAUGAUAGAAAUUCAAAAUAGGGGUCCUUUGCUACUGUUGGUUGUGUCCUUGCUUCUUGGAGAGGAGGGAGGGCAAAUGACUUUGAUGCCAGAAAUAGGGGAGGAACAUAAGGUCAAGUAUCCAUGUUGUUUGGUACCUUAUAGAAGAUGCAUUACGCAAUGGUCUCGGCAACUGCAGCGAGAUUUCACAGUCACGAUUUUUCCAUAUUGGUAUGGAUUCUAAAACCUUAUAGGAAAAUGCCAUCUUUCACAAAAUGAAACUAUGCCUACAGAGCUGCUGAGGGAUGCCCUGUAGUGGACUGGCUGAGACUGUCGAGCAUCAGGUUGCAAAUCUCCAGAGGUACAAGGGGCUCAUUGGUAGCCUGGCCUGCUUUUGGUAUAUCAAUGAGGACAUCCCUGACGUAAAUUCGUUUCGUGACAGUGGGUGAUUGAGAAAGGAGCCCAAGCAGAAGGCAGAACACAGAUGGAGCAGUUGACUUGUUCUUGUUCAUUUCCCUUUCCGCAACGAAUAGAAUCCAAUUAAUUAAUUUGGGUGUAUGCUGAUUGAGAUAGUUAAUCAAUUGGGUAUGUAGACCAUGGUGUUGGUAGGUAAGUCU